GGGAUUGGCCGAACCCAUCAUCAUGUAGCUCUUCCGUGCCCCGUCCGGAAGCCCUGCGCUUUAUCCGAAAACUCUCGAACCAGAGAGGAGCGCGAGAGCGAGAGAUCGAUCGAAGAUGGCAGCGGUGGUGGCUCUCCAGAGCUCCAUGGCGUCCCUCUCCCUCGUCUCCAACUCCUUUUUGGGCCAGCGCUUCUCUCCCUCUUGCUUCCCCUCGCCGGUUAGCUCUCUCCUCCCUUCUCUCCUCUUUGAUCGUUUCUUCCAUCUCCUUCGUUGGCUUUGAUUCAUUCUUUGAAUCUAUUAGUAUUCUUCUUAACCGGAUGUUUCUUGGAACUUUAAGAGUUAUUAUCUUUAAUUUUUUGGCCUUGUUGUCGAUGGGCUAAAUGAUAGUUUUAUUUUUUGAUACUUUAUUAAUUUAUCGUUUUAUUAUCUGAGAAACUUUGAUUUGUGGUGGAAUUUAAUGUAAAUCGAGGGCCUUUUAUUGGUCAAUUGAAGCCCAUUUUUUGGUUAUUACCAGCAUACAGCGCGCACGACGCACAUCUACUAACAAAAAAAGAAAGAUCAGAUAAAAAUAGCAAAUAACAAUGUAUGUAUGUAUGUAUUGAAGGUGUAGAAAGACCUAAU
rnacentral:lncRNA from 1 species